UGUCUGGGGAGCUGACAGCCGGCUGAGAGGGAUUAAGAUCCGACCCAUGAACCUGAUCCGGGUAAUGCCGUCGCAGGAAGAUAGAU
rnacentral:ncRNA from 1 species